GACGGAGGAUGCAAGCGUUAUCCGGAAUGAUUGGGCGUAAAGCGUCCGCAGGUGGCAGUUCAAGUCUGCUGUCAAAGACCGGGGCUUAACUUCGGAAAGGCAGUGGAAACUGAACAGCUAGAGUAUGGUAGGGGCAGAGGGAAUUCCUGGUGUAGCGGUGAAAUGCGUAGAGAUCAGGAAGAACAUCGGUGGCGAAGGCGCUCCGCUGGACCAUAACUGACACUCAGGGACGAAAGCUAGGGGAGCGAAUGGG
rnacentral:rRNA from 1 species